AAACUCCUGGCUGAUUUUAAUAUUAUUUUAUUUUCAGGUUUAUGUUUUGUUUGUAUUUUAUUUGCAGGUUUUGAUUGGUUUGUUUGGAAGCUAUCGUAGUAAGUGAAUUAAUUUGUGUUUUGGCUGAUUAUAAAAUGUAUUCUAUUUGCAGGUUCAAUUGGUUUAUUUGGAGUUUUGCGUUGUAUUUGGUAAGCGAGUCUAUUUCUGUUUUGGCUGAUUUUGAUUGUAUUUUAUUUGCAGGUUUUGAUUGGUUUGUUUGAUGGCUAUCGUAGUAAGUGAAUUGAUUUGUGUUUUGGCUGAUUAUUAAAUGUAUUCUAUUUGCAGGUUCAAUUGAUUUAUUUGGAGGUUUGCGUUGUAUUUGGUAAGCGAGUCUAUUUAUGUUUUGGCUGAUUUUGAUUGUAUUUUAUUUGCAGAUAUUGAUUGGUUCGUUUGGAAGCUAGCGUGGUUCAAUUGGUUUAUUUGGAGGUGUGCGUUGAAUUUGAUUGUGAUUGGUUUGUUUGGAAGCUAGCGUGGUUCAAUUGGUUUAUUUGGAGGUGUGCGUUGAAUUUGCGUGGUUCAAUUGGUUUAUUUGGAGGUGUGCGUUGAAUUUGGUUUUGAUUGGUUUGCUUGAAGGUGAUUUGGUUUAUACUUUCUGGACUUGGUGAUAAUGCGUCAAUCCUCGCCGUAACCAUUGGACCAAGUCUUAACCACUCGGCUGGAGGACGCCUUCCUUUUCAUCCCCUCUGUGGUCUGGCACCAUAAUUCCUUGUAUACCCAAUGGCUGGCCCCUGAUUCCUUCAAGUAUUGUCUCCCUAGUGCAUUUCCCUUGAGUAUACAUUCCUCUGUACAUGUUCAUUUGCAGUUCGCAGAAUCUGUCCGGGUGUCUGUUUUGUUUUUUUUUUUUUCUUUCUACGGGCUCUUAUUGUCCAUUUUAGCCUUUUCUUCAUUCUCCAAUCCAAAGUUCAGCCAUUUUAUUUUUGAACCCGCAGGCGUUCAAGAAAGUUGUUUUAAGCCUAUUGGAGUUGGGCAGGUUAGCCCCGGUCGUGUCAAGAGUUUGUGGCGGAAAGCGAUUGGAAUGUGGGAAAUGGCUUGCGUUAUUAUUGUUUGUGUUCAUGUCUGUAAAUUAUUGGCUAGUUUAGUUAGAUGUAAUGUAUAGCAAUGAGUUGUUUUAUUGUUUGUUUUCUAUUUGAUUGAGGAUAUUUGUUGUUUUGUGAUGUUCAGAAUUGUUUGUAGUGUUAUUUAUAUUGUCAGUAUUUUUGGGGGGAAGGUUUUGCAGUAGAGUGUGAAUUUGGCUAAUUGACGCCAUGAUGUCCUUAAUACUGAGCUCAAUUACAUUGAGCCUGUCUUCAAACCGCUUGUUCUCCUGUUCAGCGGGGCCCUCUGUCAUUACUUUUGCAGACUGCGAGAGCGCCAUCUGCUCCUCCCUCAGUCUACUCUGGAAUUUCUCUAGGUGGCUGGCGGCUGGGUUGACAUUCGUGACACCGGUUUUUGGAGCCCGUCCCUUCCCUAUUCUGUCCUUCUUGUGGCUGGAUGUUUGUU